rnacentral:lncRNA from 1 species
UAACUAUUUGUUCACAUGUGUGUACUAUUGAAUCACAUUCUUGUACUAAUAGGGGAGUUGGUGCAAAAUUGAUAAUACUUGCAUGACUAAGUUAAAAAUGGAGGUAUAGAUGGAGGUACCAUACUGUAAUUCGUAUUUUUACAUGAUUAUAACUAUUGAUUCACAUGAUUGAACUAUUGAUUCACGUUAUUUACUAUUAGGGG